UAAUACAAUAGCAUUAAGCAACUGUCGCUUGUAAGUACUAAUAGAGGUUCAAGUCUUGACCAUCAACAUUUUUUGAAUGUUGGCUAUAGUCAACGUUCCUUCCUGUCAUUUUCUUCUUUUUUUUCCAUUGGAGUUAUAUCUAAAAACAGCUUGCAAAAGCAACAGUUCUCUUGUCUGCAGCCUUUGUAAGCCCUUCCCCUUUCCCUAACCCAGACCGUCUGUGGUUGUCCAAUCAAAGACUUCUCAAUGCAGCUCAAUGAGAUGUCUGUACAAGGCAGGUGCACUGAGUAAUUUCUGCCUCUUGAGUUUAGUUCAACUGAGCUAACCAAACCAGGAAGUAACAGGACAAGUUGUCAAAUUGACAGCCAGAGGGUGUAACAAGGUUAAUUUUUAAUGACCAAUUUCUAUUGAAAUCUGCACUUUUGUAAAAUGAAAAAAAAGAGAACACACUUUCAUGCAUAAAGCACUUCAGCAAGCAAGGG